CCCGCAAUGCAACCAGUCGAGUUGCAGGCGGAUGGCACGGAACGCCAGGCCUUGGGGCUGUUGACGGCCAAGGCAUCGUCGGCGGAGAGGCAAAACUCGGAAAUGUCGUCUUGGGCAAAGGCUCGAGGGUUGCCUUUCCCGAAGGUG
rnacentral:rRNA from 1 species